rnacentral:tRNA from 1 species
GGCACGGUACGCGAACUGGAAGAGCGGCCAAACUCAAACCUUGGCGUUUGUGGGUUCGACUCCCACCCGUGCUAC